UUAUUUAGCAUUGAUUUUGUGUCAGAUAGGCACAACUUUACACAAAUUAACCCAUUUCAUUCUUUUACCAACUCUAAGGUACAGGCUCUGCUAUUGUCCCCAGUUACAGAAAGGAAACCGAGGCACAGAAGCUAAGUGACCUGCCCAAGUCACAAACCUAGCAAGGAAAGAAGCUGGAAUAUGCUGCCACAUACAACCUGGGAAGAGUGAAAAACUACUAGAGCUGACAGGAACUGCAGGAUAUAACAUAAUACAAAUACGUGAUGUCACAGGAAAAUGGAACAAUGGCCAUUUACAGACAGGGCAACUGAGGUCCAGCCAGGUUUCAUUGCUUACUCAAUGUCAGGUGGGGACACUGAGAUUCAUGGACAUUAUAUAACAUGCCUGAUGUCACAUCCUUAUUUGCAUUUGACACAAAAGUCUAAAUUAUAGCUAUAUCCCCUUUGAAACAGUAAGCUAAUUCUAAACUUGAGUCCUGGAUACUCCAGUACAGCCAGAAGAGUUUUCACACACCAAAAAAUGCAGCAACCGAGUGCAGAGACACAGUGUGGCUUUUCUAGAUGAAAAACCCAAUCAGAUAGUGGCUGGUAACAUCUUCCGGUCUCUGAUAACCCCCAUGCUACUGGAGCUGCUCAAGAUGACUUCAAAUGCAUGAAUCUGUUCACAUGCCAAAAGGUUUAUCAUAAGACUUGGCAGCUCAUGAUUAAAGAGGCACCGCAGUCCCCAGAACUUGAAGUGCCCUUUCAAAAAUUUUCCACAUUUGUUCUUGCUUCGAGUCAUGAUAAAGUGUUUCCAGUCAAAUACACCAGCUAAAAAUGAAGCUAUUUUCUGAAGGACAAGUGCCGGGUUUGGGUCCAGCACUUACAAAGACUCCUGGUACCACAGACCAUGGAACAGUCAGAGGUGAGGUGGGACUGUUCAACAACGAAUCCCAGAGGACCUUAAAACUGAGCAGGAAGAUUCCUGAGCUGCCAUGUCCAACUCCUUUGCACUUAACAAGGAUUCAACCGAGCUGAAGGGACUUGUCUGAAGCCACUGAGCAGGUUAGUGAGUGGCAGAGCCAGGAUCUAUAAUCAGGGGUUGGACAUGCCCAGGUUGCAAACAGCUUCAGUCCGAGAACUCACACUUGGAGCAGACAUACAUUUGCCUAAUGCCCUGCCCAGCUCUGGGUACAAACCUUCAGAAUCAAAUUCUGGUUUCAAACAUUGUAAUGAAGCUUCACAGUUUGCAGAUUUCUCACUGAAAACUUUAAGGCCAAAUCAAGAAAUCGUACGGCCAGGAUGCCCGGGUGGCCCCUGGAUGGGCUCUGUACUGACAGACUGGAGCCUGCUUGGGAUUUUCUCUCUCCCUCUCUCUCUGCUCCUCACCUGUUUGCACUUUCUCUCUCAAAAUAAAUAAACUUAAAAAAUGAAAGAAAGAAAUGACUAAUGUCAUAGACUCUUUGACAAAAGUGACCUUAAGGUAUGUGCACAGUGUCCUUUUCAUAGACCACAGAGAGUCAGAGAAAGAGAGAAAUAAUACUUUGCCCCCAGUACAUACACACAAAGAUCCUUGGCUUCACCAAAGCUGAGAACCUCAAACUCUCUUGACUGAAGGGUAAAGAGGGAGGCAAGAGCAAGGAGCAAUUAAAAACAGCAGUGAGUAAACCCCUCUAGCCUGGAACUCUCCUAGUUCCCGCUGUUAACAGGUCUGAAGACUCCCCCGUUGGUGGCUGGCAUGACACUAAGGGCCUCCUCACCCGCAGCGUUGCCCACGCCCGGAAAAAGAGCUGGAGAGGGAGAACUGAAUGCAACUCCAGAUAGUCUCUCUCUGGGUCCCUUCGGGGGCCCGCGCUGGGUCGAGUGAUCCCAGGGGAGGGUGUGAGAGGGUGUUCAAGCAACAAUCCCAAAGCGCCAGGGAAUGCACUUGAAGUUUCAGCCAGAGAGAGAGAGAGAUAGAGAGAGAGAGAGAAAGAAAAAAAAAAAAAAAAAAACUUUUUUGUUUUCUUUGGAAACAAGUUUU